rnacentral:rRNA from 1 species
CACGUAGUUAGCCGUGGCUUUCUGAUUAGGUACCGUCAAGAUGUGCACAGUUACUUACACAUUUGUUCUUCCCUAAUAACAGAGUUUUACGAGCCGAAACCCUUCAUCACUCACGCGGCGUUGCUCCGUCAGGCUUCCGCCCAUUGCGGAAGAUUCCCUACUGCUGCCUCCCGUAGGAGUCUGGACCGUGUCUCAGUUCCAGUGUGGCCGAUCACCCUCUCAGGUCGGCUACGUAUCGUCGCCUUGGUAAGCCGUUACCUUACCAACUAGCUAAUACGGCGCGGGUCCAUCUAUAAGUGAUAGCAAAACCAUCUUUCACUUUAGAACCAUGCGGUUCUAAAUGUUAUCCGGUAUUAGCUCCGGUUUCCCGAAGUUAUCCCAGUCUUAUAGGUAGGUUACCCACGUGUUACUCACCCGUCCGCCGCUAACUUCAAAGGAGCAAGCUCCUUAUCUGUUCGCUCGACUUGCAUGUAUUAGGCACGCCGCCAGCGUUCAUCCUGAGCCAGGAUCAAACUCU